UACGUAGGGUGCAAGCGUUAAUCGGAAUUACUGGGCGUAAAGUGUGCGCAGGCGGUUGAGCAAGUCGAGUGUGAAAGCCCCGGGCUUAACUUGGGAAUUGCGCUCGAAACUACUUGACUGGAGUGUGGCAGAGGAAGGUGGAAUUCCACGUGUAGCGGUGAAAUGCGUAGAGAUGUGGAGGAACACCAAUGGCGAAGGCAGCCUUCUGGGCCAACACUGACGCUCAUGCACGAAAGCGUGGGGAGCAAACAGG
rnacentral:rRNA from 1 species